rnacentral:lncRNA from 1 species
UUUUUUUUUUUUUUUUUUUUUUUUGAAAAAUGGCAAGCCUUCAAAGAGAGAUUCCACCUUCCCCAAAAAUAGAUAAUUCCAUAUAAAUAAUGGAUCUGUUUUUGUUUUUUCAGAGCCAUAAACUCUUUAUCCUCUCUCUGCAAAACAACCUCUGAAACAGAAGUGUAAGAUCUUUCCAUUUUCAUUUUCUUCAGAAGAAAAAAAUACUGAUAUUCAGAUAAACAGGGCAGAGGGGACACGAUCACCUAUUUCAUAUUUACUGUCUGAAAGUCCUUUCUUCUACAACUGCCUGCUUCUAAUAUUAGAGAAGUCUCCUCUAUCCAAAUAAUAGCAAAAAAACCAUUUAUUUCUAAUGUUAAUAUCCUUUUGGUUUCAAAAAGGCCAUGACGAUUAAACCAAUGGCAAAAGUCAGCUCAAAUCUCUAUUUCCAGACCACUGUACUCAUUGCUUAUACUAACUGUUACAAAGCAGUAAAUCAUCUUCCCACUUGGACAGGCUCUCACAUGAAGUGUUUGAUAAUUCUCAAAAUAAAUCAUGCCAUCAAUAGUCAAAGCCCAGCUGCUUUGUGAACCACAUUUACAAGCCUGGCAUUACAUGACUCUGGUAGUAAACAUUCAAGGCCUAGAAAGAGAGAUCUAUACUUCUGCAGUUGGAGACUCUUUAGGAAAUAAUGUUUUUUUAAAUAAUUAAUUCUAAUAUACUUAGUCUAAGAUACUUCCUAAAACAAUAUAGAAUUAAUAGUUUUCAUAAUCUGGAUGAGUAAAGGAUCCUUGUGGGUUUUUAGAAUAUUUUAUGAAUUCUAUGCAAUUCAAUUCCUCAUUCCUAUAAACUUUAAGUGCAAGAGGGGAGGGACAAGAAGUAGUUUUGGAAAAUAAAUACUACACUCAAAAUAUACAUGAUUCGAUAUACCAUGUCUACACUCUCCAAUAUAAGAACACAUCUUUCUCCUGUCAGUUCUAUUCCUGGGGGGAAAAAAAUCAUUAUAAGACCAGCAACCUUUUUUCAACAUGAACAGAUGUCCGGCACUGAAGGUUUGGAUGGGCAGAGGUUUAAUGUAGAAAAUAUGUGGCUACACUUCUCUGGAAGAUGAAAUCCAAACUAAACUGUACAGGCUCAGAGGAGGACAUAGAGACACUCUUCUUAACAUGAGGCAAGAGAGAUGAUUACAGCACUCCUAAUAGUGGAAACUGCAAAGCAGAAGUCAAACCAGAUGUUUCAGACUUGCUGCACCCAAGUCAAGGAGCAGUGCAUGGAGGAUUCAGGCAAGUUCAAACUUAAGCAUAUUCAGCUCAAAUCUCAUGUGCCAUGUUGCCCCAAGCUGGCACAGAGUGAUACCUAUAACUCCAGAAAUAAGACCAUAUUUUAGCUGUGGUUUACUGAUGUCAUUCUACAACUGCAUGCAUUACAAAUGCCUUUUUCAUUUCGCAGCCAUAAUUUCCUUACAUGUGUUUAGCUAUGUGCAGUUGAGAAAACAAUUUUAUAAAUAAUACCUCCCCACCCUUUUAAGUAGGUGCUUUUAUUCUCUCUUUAUAAAUAAAGCAACUGAGGCUUAAAUAACUUAGAUGUCUUUUCUGAGGUCACUUGAUAAAACGUGGACUCAAAUUUAGAUUGUUUGACUCCGGGGCCAAUAAACUUUCCACCAAAUCAGCUUCCCAGCUUUUCCCAGAUCUUUAUCUCACCCAAUUAUGUGUUAAUUCUGUAAUCAGAUAGGUUACAUUUUCUACAUUCACUAAAAAAACAAACCAGUUUAAUUCAAGCCUAGAUGAAAAGGCCCUCCCUUCCAUCAUUGACUUUUUAAUACAGCGAUAAUACAUUAAACAAGCCAAAUUAAACUCAUAUUCAGCCAGAAUAAAUGACAAAAGUAGUCCAAAUAAACUGUAACUGGCACCACCUAAACCAAGUAUAACUUUCACCAAGUGACAGCAGUGGGGGAGGAAAUGGCAGCAGAUAACACAGUUCUCCCUUUGAGAGGUGCCCCUUCUCACGGAGUUGGUAUUAGCUUGUUUUUCUCUAAUAAGAGGUGUCCGGGCGCUUACAAAAUGUAUCCUGAAACACCAUUUCUAGAUGUUUUUAUGCCAUAUAUAAUUCUAUUCUACCUGUUCACUAAGAUUUUUCUUCAUCGGCAGCUUCAGAAAGCAAAAUCAACUUCGGCUUUGAUAAAAGCAGCAACGUCUUACUAGCUGGGUCAAGCUGCUAGUAAAAGAAUUUCUCCACUGAGAAUUUCUUAGAGAAGAGCUGCCACACAGGUUCCAGGGCUUCCUUUCACUGACCCCUCAGGUAGGUAAAACACACAUAUUGAGUAAAACUGGCAGAAGAGAGUCCAGUGAGGAAUCAAAAACCACAGGGUAUUUUAUUGUCUCCUCUGGACAUUUAGGUCAAGCCCCUUAGUAUCUUUUCGGUAUUAUUCUUUUUGUGUUUUAAUCCAUAAAGCAAGUAUAAAUUUCUACUCCUGACUCCUUACAGUAGACAAAAAGUAAAAACAUAUCAGACACAGAAGUAUUUUGAACACAGUGGAAUUAAAAACAGUGUUCUUAACUGAAGGCUUCGUAUAUAUGAAGAAAAUACACCACUCCCCUGGAGUUAAAAACAAACCAUUUUUCAGUUCCACUGUCAGUUCCAACAUUGUAAUUCUGCUUUAUUGUUAACUCAUUGAGCCCAUGUGCCAGGCUCCAUGAGGUUUACUGGGAACACCAAUGAAUAAAAGAAUAAUGGGGAGAGACAGUCAUUAAAGAAUUCCUUUUACUACUGCAACAGCUGGCAUGAAGGGAAAGGUACCGAGUGCUAUGAGAAAGUAAAAGAGGCAAGCUUGACCUUGUCUAAGAGGAUGGAGAAAGUUUCCAUGAGGAAAUAUUUAAACACACAAAUUCUUUUUCUCCAGUUUUCACUUCCAAGCACAAGAUCCACAGUUUCUAUUCAUUAGUAUCUGGAAAUGUUCUCACCUUCCUCUCUUCUAAUCUAACUUGAUGCUACUGAAAUAACUUAUUUUUUUGAAAUCUUCAAUUCUUAUUUUUCCUUUUCCUCCAAAUUUCUCAUCAUGCUUCCCUUAAAACAACCAAACAAACAAAAUAAGAUUUUAGGCUUCAGGACCCAAUGUGGCUUUUAGGGUUAACUGUUCAAAGCCAUAUGAGGCCUAAGAACAUUUCUGUCUGCUCUGGUCACAAAGUGACUUCUAGUAACUCAGAGAAAAAGGAGAAACAUUAAAAAGUUAAAUAUAUAGUGAAAAAUCAGGCAAAAAUACAUGGCAAAGAAAAUGUGACUGCCAUUCUCUUGCCCUUUGUUUUCAAGGCUCCUUGGUCAUUCUACGUUCUUACUAUUUUUUCACAUUUGGAUAAUAUAUGUCCAUUACCCUGGAGAAUUAUGUCCUGGAAUGCACACUUUUUCCCCCCAAAAAAGUCAAUGAAGCAUACAGAUUUUUCAGAGAAUCUGGAGUAAGGCGAUAUGAUCUCAAAAACCACAAAGAAUAACAACAAUUUUAUCUAUUUCUAGGAAACAGAGAGGAUGGAAGAACAGCCAAAAUAAUUUUAAGGUAAACCUAAAAUUAAAUGGUAUGAUACUGUUUUGCAGUAACAAAUGCUUGUUUUUAAAAAUACAAUUAUAGUAUUAGUCAAAGCAAUGAAUCUAUCUCUAAAGCAAGAUACUAAAGAGAAUAUUUAUUUUAUGAAUUCAAAAGCAGAGACAAAUAACAAUAAUUGGGACAUUUUAUCCUACUGGGCAAUGGCUAUAUAUGAAUUCAAUUGAUGGCCUAUUAAUAUUCUCAUCAAUGUAACUUGUUCAGAAGACGUCCUUACAACUCUACAGAAGGAAUCACAAAAAACAUAUUGCAAAGUUUCACCACAAUAUUCAAAGAGUAGAGCCUGCACUUAAAAGUCUUUUCAGGUUCCUGAAUAUGGAAUUUCAAUCUAUCUACCAAUUAAGCCAAUUCUCUCUUUUUAAACAUAGACUCUGACCUUAAAAAAGGCACAUUCUAUCUGACUUCUACCUAUAUCCAAAGUACACUUUGAAUAGCCCAAAACUAAAUUCGGUGCCUAUUCUUUCCCACUCAGUACUGACGGCAUGAAGAAAAAAGGAUAGAUACUUUUCACGUAGGAAUGUCACUCUUUUUUAUCCACAGCAAUUGUCAUUUUUGCACUGCAAAGGCUCAGAACAUAUAUUUUAAAUGACCCCUACCACACAGACAAGCCAAAGAGGGAGCUGAGAGUGAGUGUGUAGAUAAACUGAAUUACAGUUUAGCACCCAGAACAAAUCAUUUUGAUGAUUUUAAGAAGCAGCAAUUUAGUUGAAAUUUCAAGAGCCUGAGACUAAAGUAGAAAGGACAGGGAAAUAAAGGAAUAGAGUUAACAGCCCAUGUGAAUAAACUUAUUUAGCACAGACCUACUGGAUUUCUCUCUUUGAAUUCUGAGCUUGCUGGAGAAUACUCUUGAAUUGUCUCUACGUCUGAUCUUUACGCCACAUGCUGUAUCUUUUCCGAAUAGAGAUAUGAAAAUAGUCUUUUCAUAUCUUCAACUACUUUCUGUAUUUUUCUUGGACACAAGUCACAUGUGCAAGCAACAUCUAAUUAUAAAAAUAUACACAAACUGCUGUAUUUGUAGUAUCAAUCAGUCAAGAAGUACUUAAUGAUCAUAUGAAAUUAAUAGACAAAAUGCAAGGAGGUGGGUGCCAAAAAAAAUCUCAUGCUCAACUGCAUACUGAAAAGAAUAUAAACAUCAUGAGGACGGAUGACUGCUUGACUUACUCCCUUUGUAAUUAUCUCUAGCCUCCAGCACAAUAGAAUUGGGACUGGAUAAUACUUUGCUGAAUAAAUAAGUUUUCAAAAGUGCUACAAAUGAAAUAAAAAUG